rnacentral:rRNA from 1 species
UACGGAAGGGGGCUAGCGUUGCUCGGAAUCACUGGGCGUAAAGGGUGCGUAGGCGGGUCUUUAAGGUCAGGGGUGAAAUCCUGGAGCUCAACUCCAGAACUGCCUUUGAUACUGAGGAUCUUGAGUUCGGGAGAGGUGAGUGGAACUGCGAGUGUAGAGGUGAAAUUCGUAGAUAUUCGCAAGAAACACCCAGUGGCGAAGGCGGCUCACUGGCCCGAUACUGACGCUGAGGCACGAAAGCGUGGGGAGCAAACAGG